CCUCCGUCUGGCCAAAGCAGCGCGGCCAGGGGAGGGAAGGGGUGGGCGGGGUUUUUGUGUCCACCGUUAAUGUUUUCUUUAGGAACAAGGCGGCCGCUUGUUGGGACGUCCAAUGAAAACAACGCCAGCGUUUGCAGCUCGGACAAAUUGUGCAGUGUUUGCUGAGGGCAAAGCGCCGCCAGGGAGGACGUGUUUUGGUAACAUUUCUGGGACAUCAAAAUAUUGCAAGGAUCAUUUUUCUAGAAAUUCUAGAAGAAUUAUAGCACACUGAAUGAAGUUGUAGACUGCUACGUCAGCUCCUACCUAGCCGCCAAAAUGGCUCCCGGUCACUUGUGUUUAGAAGCCAACAGAACCGGUUUGCUUUACCGUAUCCGUGUCGAUGGGCUGGUACGAAAAGUCAGCUGCUUUCUGGAAAACGGGAUUCUUCUGAACAAACAUCCGC